UAAGUUAAUUGUGUUACUGUGUGUGCAACAAAAACAAAACAAUACCCAAAAGUAAAGAAAGAAGCAAUAAAACAUUAAUACCCCGCCAUGAGCUCACUUUUCCAAUCCAUAAGAAUGCAAUUCGAUAGCCUUAAUUUCCAAAACAGCCCCAAAGUACAAUAGCAACAAAAUAUACUCUUCCAUCGAAUAAAGCUAUAAGAUACUCCAUCUAAACAAAGGCAAUUAUAUCUAUACCACCGUUUCUGCUGCCUCGAUUGUAAAGGGGGGAAAGACAAGAAGAAAUAAAUAAAUAAAGUAUCUACGAUGAGUAAAAUAGUUUCUCACAUAUAUGUUCGAGAGAGUAUGCCUUUACCUCUAUCUAAACCUUACCUACGUAUAUCCAUUUGUACCCCAAAGAAGUAUCUGAGACUUAGUAUCUCAGUAUCUCAGUAUCUAUAUAUCUCUCUUUCGGUAUUAAACAAAAACAAAAGAAAAGACACAACAGACAGUGAAUUGUUUGUGCAUUAUUACAAUUGGCACGCGACUCUUUUAUACUUACUCUAGGAAUGUCUUCAUAUGAAAACUCGUACUCACGAUACAAAAAGUAUCUAGGAACACACACUCUCUCGUAUGUGGUUUCCUUUCUGACUCUCAAGAAAGACUUAGCCAAAGCAGAAGACGCAAGAAAUAGUCAAAGAAAAAAUAUUGAACAAAAUAAGAUACAAUUUAUAGUUAUACCAUACUCGGUACUACUCGUUACUCGUACUCGUACUCGUAUACCACCUCUGUUUGUUGGCUGAUAGUAGUUCUUCUUUUUUGAGAAGCCCACCAUAAAGUUUUUCGUUUUUCAUUUUUGUAUUGAGAACAAGCAAGUGUUCCAAGUGACGCAUACCCAACCCAACUCAACUCUGAAUGUCUCAACCUCAACCUAACCAAGUCAAACAUACUCGUACCUACAACGAUCGAACUCAAACUUCUGGGGCUGCCUAUAUAGCCAUUCUUUCUGAAGCCACUUAACGGGCUUCAAUCGUAGCUUGUAGCUUUUCGAUAUUUUAGUUUGCCUCUGAGACGAGACGCGAAUCGACGACGAAGUUGUUUUUUUUUUUACUUGGUUUGUCUUCAAAGUAUCCGUCAGAUAUUUUAUAUGCGAAAGGAUAUUUUGUUGGGUUUUGUGUUAUUUUUCUGAUACGCCUUUCGGAUUUCUUUUCUGUAAACGUGAAUGUCCGACUUGUCGGUCGAUGUUGAUGUGAGGAUGACGCAUACCUUUUCGACAGGUUUUUUGUAUAUUGAGCUCGUCGAUAAAUAAAUUCGUCAACCCCCCACGCGAUGGUGGACCGUCAAUGACCUUUUUGGAAGUUUGUUUUGCUCUUCGUCCUGCGUCAUCGGAACCGUCCUCGUGUAACCAUAGUGAUGCCUUUGGGCAAAACGAAGUAAAAUAACAAAAUAUCAAAGAGAAAAGGAGUCAAUACUCCUACGCGUCAUUAAACGUGCUUUAGUCGUGUCGAAACCGAAGUGAAGUCAAAUCUGAAACCGAAAUCCUGAAAUCUCAAACUGAAAGUCGAAGCCGGUGUGUGGUGGCGGCAUCGUAUCAUCGUCGCCUCCUUCAUCGUCGUCGGUCGUCCCUUCUGUCGAUGUUUUCGUAGUCUUUAAGGCAAAGCGGCGAUUUGUUUACGUGACAUGUGGUUUCCUGUAAAAUCGGAAUAGCAAUUCGAAUCCGAAUCCGUAUCUGAAUCCUCAAGCUGCUUCUGCCGCCUUCGUAGCCUUCGAAACCUUCGUCGUCGUCGCCUUACAAUUGCAGGGGUUUUCGCAGUCGAAUCAGAGGAGAAAGUUGGAUUGCGCAAAGUGAUUCUUCGUGAUAUCUAAAGUGCAACAAUGUGUUUUUAAUUUUUCAUUCAUUUUGAAAAAAUAAAAUAAGAAAAAAAAUGAAGAAGAAAUAAAUAAAAAUAUAACUAAAUAUAAUUCUUUGAA